CCGACUUCUGCAAGGCACAUGGUGGUGGAAAGAGGUGCAACUGGGGCGGUGGAAAAUGUGAAAAGUUUGCAAGAGGAAAGAGUGGGUUAUGUGCUGCACAUAGCAGCCUGGUUCGAGGACGUGCAAUGAACGAAGGAGGAAUGCUUGGUGCUCGACUCUUCCACGGAUUGGUGCCAGCUGCUUCUACUGCUAGGAGCAGCUUUGACAACACUUGUUCUUCAUCCGGAGUUAGUGUGAUCUCGGAUUCUCCCGAUUCACUUGAACAACCAGCAAAAAGGGCACAUCUCAUACCUCCUCAGGUAUUGGUUCCUUUGUCGAUGAAGGCCUCAUUAUGUCCCGAGAAGCAAGUGGAAACGAGCAAUGCCGGCAACUUUGACAAUACCAGUGAUGGAAAGAGCUUGGAUUAUGUGGUUCCGGAGGGAAGGGUGCAUGGUGGUGGACUCAUGUCCUUGCUUGGGGGGAACCUGAGGAAUGCUAUGGAUGGGGAUUUGAAUUGGUUUUAGAAAAAUCUUCAACUUGUAAUUUAUGUGUUAGUAUUUUGAAUAAUUUACUGUUGUAACUGUGCAUUUAAUGCUUGAAAUUUGUCAAGUGAUACCAUGUAAUUUGGUAUUGUAUGUUGUUAAUAGGAUUUUUAUUCCCAUGUACUUUGAUUAUUGGGUAUUUUGUAAUUAUACAGCUUAUCAGGUAAAGGUUCGCAUUCAUGAAGUUAGGCUAAUUUUAAAAAUGUUAGUCAAAAUCUAUUAAUAUAACUAGUAAACUCUGAGCUGGUUCAUUCAAGUAGAGUUUAGAUCUAAAGUUGAAGUCUCCAUAAAGUUGAAUGAUACCCCUAUAAAUAAGAAGAGUAAUGAAGUUUAUCUCUAUUAGUAUUCAACAUCAGUUUAGAUGUCAAUGGAUCUGACCUAAAGAAUUAAUGCAACAUGUACAGAGUGGCAAUCAUCUCCAUUUGAUAUAGUAGGUGGCGUGAGGUAAAAUGAUAAGGCCAGUUCAGUGUAUGAAUAUGAAAUUCAUUUAUUGACCUUAUCAUUUAAUGUCAUCUCACAUUGAGGAUAACCUUAGUUUAUACGUAAUUUCUAAGGUCAUAUCAUUUCUGGAGAGGAUUUUGCUGUAAAUCUAUUUGAAAUAAAGAGCAAGACUCUGUGGCCAUUCCUCUUUAUUUAUCGACCACUUGAAACUAAAUAUUUUUAACUACUUGACAUCAACUCUAUCAAGAAGCUACGAAACUUCUCGAUGCAUUAUUCGAACUGACAAGCACCUGUCACUCAUGAUAUUCGAUCCUACUGAUGCUUAACACCUGUCUACGUAGUAUUGAGAUCAUUUUAUCGAACAAUGUAACAAUAAUUUCACAAAUUGACUAGGAUUAUGAUUAUUCUUUAAAUGAUAGAGCAUUUUUCUUCAUUUAUAAAAAGUUACUUUACUUUUCUCAAGUUUAUCACUUCCUUCUGUUAUUGUGCGGGUUUCAAAUACAGUUAUGGCGCCUUUUGCAUGUACUCACAUGCAUAAUCUGUUGGAAAAUAAGGGGUUGGAGAAGAAACAACAACAAAAUUAUAGAAACAAAAUGAAUAGAAAUCACGAAACACAUCAAGAAUGAAUUUGAGGUUUGAACACGGGAUCGUUGUCCUCAAACUAUAUUUGUCCCCUCUCCAUAUGAAAUGAGAUGCUUAAGGGUGUUAUGGCAAAUGGUUUGAAAGAUUUUAACAAGCUUUGAUGCAGAAAAUAACAAAGCACGAGAAAUUUUCCGUCAAAACUUGAUGAACACAAUAAAGAAGAAAUGAAUAUGAGUUAUAACAGGGAUUUAAUUAAUUGUGGAACAAUAUAUGGAUUUCAAGAUGUUUUUCUUGUUUGUAAUGUAUUUGUAUUGAUCUUCAUCACCUAUUUAUAGGCCUCAAUCAAUACAUCACGAAAUGGUGCCAAAACAAGAUGAAAAGUGGCAACUUUUAAUCCAAAACGACUCCCAAGUUUCAAAUUGAAAAACUAGCCAAUGGCUAUUUUUUAACACUAUGCGUACGCAUAAUAUAAACCGUGCGUAUGCAUAGUAGAAGCAAAAUUUAAUUCUGAUUUUGCCAAAACACAUCUGUGUACGCAUAAAAAGAAGCCUGUGCGUAUGCAUAGGCAAAAAAUCAAAAUUUUCAUUUUUCAAUUUCUUUUGAUUCUAGUCCAUUAUCAUUCCAUUGAUUUCGAACAAAUAUUCAACAAUCCCCCACUUGUUAAAAAUCAAUACGAUCACAUAUUCAAAAAGAUGACACUUAUGCAUACGGAUUAGAUAUCUUUCGAUUUGAAUCUAACCAUAGUGUAAUUCAAACAAAGUAAAGUCGGAAUUAGAGGUAGCAUAGAAGUUUUGAACCAAUUAUUCCUUGUGACAAUACCGAUAAGAACACACACAUAAGUAUCACGUGUUCUCAAGUUCCUCAACUCGCUUAGCGCUAUUAUGGUCUUGCGCUCAUCCUCUUCGACAAACUUUUAAGAGAGAAACUCCAACUCUCUAUUGAAGCGGCACCACCUCGAAGUUAGUUUAGGUGAAGUUCUUCCAGUACCUUUGUUACUUUUAGAAGUACUUGUGUUUUAACACUGAACUUCAUUAAGAACUUUAAGCUCAACCCUCACUUCAGUAACAACCAGCAUUAUUUAAUUAGGAUAGGGUCAUUGCGGAUUUGAAUAAUGCUGCAGCCAUCUACAUAUCGAAUGACUUGUUGUUACCCUUUGAACUCGUUGAUUACUUUUUGAGUAAUGACAGGUAGGGUUGCCGUCAUUGGUGGACCUUUUUAGUUAAGAAGUUUCAACCCCAUCCUACUCGAAGUAGACGCCACUAAAUCUCUAUUUAGUGCUUUAGUUAAAGGAUUCGCUAAAUUCUCAAUUGACCUUACAUAAUUUAGGGAAAUUAUUCCAUCUUUGAUUAAUUUCCUUAUGUAGUCAUGUCUUAGAUUCAUAUGUCUAAACUUUCCAUUGUAUACCUCGUUAUAUGCCUUUGCUAACGUGGCUUGACUAUCACACAUGAUAGGUAUUGAAGAGAUAUUCUUCGAUCCCAAAGGUAUCUCAUAUAAGAGAUCCUUAAGUCAUUCAACCUCUUUCCUGGUAUCCGAUAAAGCUACAAAUUCAUAUUCUAUGGUCGAGUGUGUUAUACAUGUUUGUUUCUUUGAUUUCCAAGAAACAGCACCUCCUCCAAGAGUGAAUACCCAUCCCGAAGUGGAUUUACUUUCACCCAUGCUAGAUAUCCAACUAGUAUCGAUAAAUCCUUCCAAUAUCGUCGGGAAUUUAGUAUAUUGUAGGCCCAAGUUCUUGGUUUUCUUUAAGUAUCCAAGAACUCUCACAAUGGCCUUCCAAUGAUCAUUACUCGGAUUGCUAGUAAACCUAUUAAGUUUACUUAUUGCAUAAGCUAUAUCCGAUCUUGUGCAUUGAACAACAUACAUAAGACUUCCUAUAGCACUUGCAUAUUCAUAUUGAGUAAUCGCCCUUCCAUCAUUCUUUAUUAGUUUUGAACUUGGAUCAAUCGGGGUACUACAUUCCUUUAUGUUCAAAUAUUUGAACUUAUUUAUCACAUUUUCAAUAUAAUGUGAUUGACUUAGAUAGUAACCUCCACUAGUCUUUGUGACUUUGAUACCUAAAAUGGUAUCCACUUGUCCAAGAUCCUUCAUCUUGAAUGUGGAAGAAAGAAACUUCUUUGUUUCUUCUAUUCCGUCCAUGUGAUUACUCAUAAUCAGUAUAUCGUCAACAUACAAGCAUAUAAAUGUCACAUAAUCAUCACAAACUUUAGAAUAUAAACAUUUAUCAACACUAUUAUAUUUAAAUCCGAAUGAUAUUAUUGCUAAGUCAAACUUCUCAUGCCAUUUCUUUGGUACUUGCUUCAGACCAUAUAAAGAUUUUACCAACUUGCACACUUUAUGUUUAUUUCCAGGUAGGGCAAACCCUUCGGGUUGUUCCAUAUAGACCUCCUCAUCGAGAUCUCCAUUUAUGAAUGCCGUCUUGAAAUCCAUUUGAUGAACAUGCAAGUCAUAUAUUGAAGUCAAAGCGAAUAAUAUCCUAAUCGAUGUUAUUCUAGCUACCGUGCAUAAGUAUCAAAAUAGUCGAUUCCUUCCUUUUGUCGAUAUCCUUUGGCUACUAAUCUAGCCUUGAAGGUAUUUAAGGAUCCAUCAACAUUGCAUUUUCUCCUAAAUACCCAUUUGCAUCCAAUAGGCUUGGAUCCCGGUGGUAAAUCAACAAGUUUCCAAGUAUUAUUGGACAUUAUCGAAUCCAUUUCGUCCUUAAUUGUAUCUUUCCAAAAGGUGCUAUCACGAGAAGCCAUAACUUCUUUAUAAGUGUUAGGGUCGGUUUCUAUUUAUAAAAAAAAAAAGAAUUGUUCUCACAACAUUCAACUCAUUUCCCUCUAUUAAGUAAAAUGAGAUAAGUUGAUAAUCGAUUUCAUUCGAUCCCAAAGACUUCUUCACUCGAAUUCUCUUGCUUCUUCGUGGUUCACUAGAUUCAUCAACAUUCUUAAAAGAUAUUUCAUCACGUGUUCCACUUGAACUAGGGAUAUUUUCUAGAUUUUUCCUCAAUUCAUUAUCCGAAGAUAAUGAAUCCUCAAAGAACUCCACAUCGUUAGAUUCAAUAAUCACAUUGGACUCCAAAUUUAGUAAUCUAUAAGAUUUGCUAUUGUUUGCAUAUACAACAAAGGCACAUUUAAUACUUCUUGGACCCAAUUUGGUCAUAUUAGGAUUCGUGUUCUUGCAAUAGGCAAGACACCCCUGCACUUUAAAGUAUUCAAUGUUCGAUUUUCUUCCUUUUCACAAUUCAUAAGGAGAAACCUAAGUAUAUUUUGAAGAAAUCCUAUUAAGUAUUCGACAUGCACUUAAUAAAGCUUCACCCCACAAGUUAAAUGACAACUUAGCAUGAAUAAGCAUGACAUUUAUCAUUUUUACAAAUGUUCUAUUUUUUCUUUCAGCCAAGCCAUUUUGUUCGGGGUGUCCUAGGUGCAAAACAUUGAUGAAUAAUUCCAUGUUGUUCACAAAACAAAUUAAAAUCAUUGGAAAAGUAUUCACUACAUCUAUCACUCCUUAAAAUUUUAAUUUUCUUUCCUAGAUAAUUUUCAACCUCAUUCUUGUAUGUCUUAAACAUGUCAAAUGUUUCACUUUUAUGUUUUAUCAAAUAAACAUAUGUAUAUCUAGAAAAGUCAUUUAUAAAAGUUAUGAAAUAUUUAUUUCCACCUCUAGUUAAAAUACCAUUAAGUUCACAUAUAUCAGUAUGAAUUAAUUCUAAAAUACUAGAGGUUCUCUUAACACUUUGAUAUGAUUUUUUUUAAUUAUUUUAGAUUCUACACAUAUUUUGCAUUUAUGUUCAUCAUUUUCAUCAUAUGAGAUCAAGUUAUAUUUUUCAUACGUUUCAUUGUAUUUCUAUCAACAUGACAUAAUCUAGCAUGUCAUAAUGAAAAUAAAUUCACAACACAGCAAAAUUACUUUUAUUCAUUUCAUUAUCAACGGUACAUAAUUUGACCAUUUCUUCACACGAAUAGCCUUUUCCAACAAAUUUCCCAUUAAGGGAUAGUACAAGUUUGUCGGACUCAUAAACACAUUUGAUGCCCGAUUUUUCCAAGAGAUUGUCACUAACUAGGUUCCUAUUCAUAUCCGGAACAUGUAGUACAUUAGUUAGAGUAACAGUUUUCCCAGAAGUGAAGAUAAUGUCUACACUUCCUUUUCCAAACACCUUAGAUCACAUUUCGUUACCCAUUUGAAUCUCUUGUUCUCUAUCCACUUCUUGAUAAUUUUUGAACAAAGAUUUAUCAUAUGAUAUAUGUACCGUAGUACAAGUAUCAUGCCACCACCCGAGAACAUUUUCUUUGAUUGUGUUUACUUCACUUAUGGUAGCCACAAUUUUGUCAUCUUGGAUGAAAUUCACUUUGGCCUCGAAGUUGUUUUGUUUUCGGUGCCUACAAUCCUUGGCAUAGUGAUCAGAUUUUCCAUACACAAAACAACAUUUUUUUUGUCUUCUUCUUGGACUUGUUAAAGUUCUUAGAAGGCUUCCUUUUGUUGGAUUUUGUCGGUGGUUCUAUUUUUUUCACAGCAUUUGCUUUAGAAGAGCCCUCAUGAGAAUUUUCAGUUUUAUCACGUAUUCUCGACUCCUCUUCGAUUCGAAGAUACUUUUGUAAUUGUUCCAAAGAAUAAUUUUCGAAACUAUGCAUGAUCUUCUUCCGGUAUCCUUUCCAAGUUUUGGGAAGUUUGGUAGUUAUAGCCCCCACUUGAAAAAUUUCCGGUAUAUCAAUUUUUACCGCCUUUAAUUUGUUGACAAUCACUUGCAACUCAUGCACUUGGGGAAGAAGAUGGAUAUUUUCUAAAAAUUUAAAAUCAAAAUACUUAGAAAUCAAAAAUUUCUUUGUACAUUCUUCUUCCGCCUUGUACUUACUUUCCAAUGCUUCCCAGAUUUCUUUCGCCGAAAUUGUAUUGGUGUAUAGAUCAUACAAACGAUCCGACAAUGCAUUCAAGAUGUGGCCACGACAAAUCAAUUCAUCUUCUUGGCAUUUUUGUCUCUCGAUCUUGAUUGCUUCGAAUUCUCCAUUCGUUGAUUCCAGCAAAGGCGCUAAAUCUGAAUCAAGAAUAUAAAAAAUCUUCAACGCCGUUAGGAGGAAUUUCAACUUGUCUUGCCACCGCGUGAAGUUAGUCCCGUCAAAACGAUCCAAUCUUACCAGAUCUUGAUUCAUGAGUUUGAUGGCUGUCAUAGUUGUAUCAUUUUCCAUCGCAGGUUAUAGUUUGAGAUUGUUGGAAAAUAAGGGGUUGGAGAAGAAACAACAACAAAAUUAUAGAAACAAAAUGAAUAGAAAUCACGAAAUACGUCAAGAAUGAAUUUGAGGCUUGAACACGGGAUCGUUUUCCUCAAACUAUAUUUGCCCCCUCUCCAUAUGAAAUGAGAUGCUUAAGGGUGUUAUGGCAAAUGGUUUGAAAGAUUUUAACAAGCCUUGAUGCAGAAAAUAACAAAGCAUAAGAAAUUUUCCGCCAAAACUUGAUGAACACAAUAAAGAAGAAAUGAAUAUGAGUUAUAACAGGGAUUUGAUUAAUUUGUGGAACAAUAUAUGAAUUUCAAGAUGUUUUUCUUGUUUGUAAUGUAUUUGUAUUGAUCAUUCAUCACCUAUUUAUAGGCCUCAAUCAAUACAUCACAAAAUGGUGCCAAAACAAGAUGAAAAGUGACAACUUUUAAUCCAAAACGGCUCCCAAAUUUCAAAUUGAAAAACUAGCCAAUGGCUAUUUUUUAACACUAUGCGUACUCAUAAUAUAAACCGUGCGUACGCAUAGUAGAAGCAAAAUUUAAUUAUGAUUUUGUCAAAACACAUCUCGUGUACGCACAAAAAUAAGCCCGUGCGUAUACAUAGACAAAAAAUCAAAAUUUUCAUUUUUCAAUUUCUUUUGAUUCUACCCAUUCCAUAAUUGAGCCCAACAAUUAGUCCAUUAUCAUUCUAUUGAUUUUGAACAAAUAUUCUACAUAAUCUGUUGAAGAAACAUCGGGUUCGAAUUUCUUCAAUGUAACUUGAUGUCGCAAUUCAUGCAAAAUUUCUGAAUUUCCGAUACAAUUUUGAUUAUGCUAACUAAAAACAAGUUCAAUUUAUUUCUCUUGAAACAGUACAAAGCAACCUCCAUGGAAAACCUUCAAAGUUCCUCGAAAGCUUCAAAGCACAAGUCCUUGAACUACAACGAUUCAUCAAUCAAUAUAAAAUAUUUUAUUGGCCGUCUUGCGAUUAACUGCAAUCUUCGAUUCGUACGCUUCCGAUGUCUCACACUCUCCAUCACCGUCGAAGUAUCUCAAUUCAACCUCGUUGGUGAUGGCCUUUAGUAAGUACUUAUUGCCACUGGCGACGAUUGCGAAUCUGGACUCACCAUCGGUGAAGCUCGAGAAGGAUGUGCUGAUGAUGGAUGAAAGUUCGGUAUGGAAGUUUAAUAAAGGUUGCGGAGUUGUCGAAUUAGGGUUAGGUCACUGCUGAUAUCAUUAGAAUUCAACAGCGGCAGGGGAAUUACGAGUAUCACUGAUAGUUGCUUUGACUACAGAACUGAAACAUGUAUGUUUUGGAAGGAUUCUAUCACGGUCGAACCUUUAACAACGGUAGCUCCUCACCGUGACGUAGCUGCAGCUUAGAAAAUGAAGAUUUUCAACUGAAAUCAGCUGACUUAGUAACCAAUAAAAGAUAAAAGAGAAUGGGGGAAAGGAUUAAAUGACGUAAAAUAAGAAGAAAGGGAAGACAAAGCUAUUGAACGAUUUCAAAAUUGCCUCGAAAAUAUCAGAUUAUACAGAACUCAUCUUCCCCAUUCCCAAGCUUCAAUACAACCCUAUAUACAAUAAAACAACAAUUGGGCUUGGGCUAGCCCACCAUACAAGCCCAAAUAAAAAAUAAAAUAAAAUUGGCAUAAUCCAUGACAUCCCUUCCCUUUAAUUUAACCUUGUCCUCAAGGUUUAACAUCAGAAUGUCUUUUUUGUAUGUUGUUAGCAACGGUCUCGUUCUCUUCACCAUUCUUGGAUUAAGCAGGUAGUGUAAGAUGAAGAAAACCUUAUCCUCAAGCUGACUUCUAGGGAAAAAGGCUCUUAACAAAACGAAUGGCCUGUCUUUUCCAUCUUCUCGCUUAGUCGGCCCACCUGAUGUAGCCAUGUGAAUGUAGUAAUCAUAUGCAUUAUGCAACUUUCUGUGCUUAACAUCAUCAUGAUGUAAAGCAUCUCUGGGCAUCGAGACCUCUUGACCAUUGAAGACAGAAGGUUCGUUCAUGCCAUUCCAGAUGUACAAGGAUGGAGAUAUACGAGAAAUUUUCAGCCCACCAAGACCUAAUCUUUGGAUUCAACACAUUCAAGUAUGAUGAUGAACCAGACCAGCACCACCCAUUGAAAUCCUUCCCAGUUGCAUCCUUUACAUAAUAUACCUUUUGGGAAGUCUUCUUGUGUAUAUCGUAAGGUUCGUCCCUCUUAAUGUGAGGGUCCACGAUAGUGACCAUAUGCCUGCCGUUUUCAACCAACUUUUUCUGCAUCUCUUCUGGAUUAGGAAAUAGCAGCCUAUCCCACGUAAAAUAAUUUUUCCCAUCCAUAUGCUCAAUAUCAAGCCACCAAAAAAAAAGGGAUAUCAUGCUCAUCAAAUUUGGCGUCUAGAUUAUAAACAUCCUCUUCACCGCUAUAAUUCCACCUACACUGAUGGUAAGAAAUAGCAAAUAACUGUGGCAUUGCCAGUGUUCCAGUAACACUUGUAUACUGCAUAACCAUAUUUUUUGGCUCCGGACUAACAAAAAAGAAUGCAUCCAACACACGAGCUUCUUUCAUCCACAAUGUAUUGACCCUCUUUUGAUCUGAAGGCAACAUCAAAACAGAAGUAUAUUCAUCAUUCCAACUUGUCCCCAGAACAUCAAUUUGCAUUUCAGCAGCAUUCAGCCAGAAAAACCCAGAGCUCCCAUGUGACUUCCCAUGGGAAAUCAUGAAAGGUAUGGAACCAUAAAGCCCAGAAGGCGAGUCAGCAAUAUAUUCAAACACAUCAAGGUUAAAAAGCCGAUAUGGCUCAGAAUCCUCCACCCCAAGUCCUCUAGUUGGCUUUAAGGCUAAACUAGUGGCAUGUUCUGGAAUGCCAUAAACAAAAUCGGCAUCAUAGAAUGAUACGUCAAAGCUAAUACUCUAUGGUCCAUACAGACGUGUAUGAGUGUGGCUCCUAAACCUCUCCUCCAAAUUCUCAACUUCAUUUCUUCAUCCUUCUCAACACCUAAAUCAGAUUCUAGCUUCUCAAAACUAGUCUCCACAACAGUUUCUAUUUCAACAUGCCUUGUAACUACAACAACUGAAUCAUCUUCGUUCAAUUCAUAAGUAUUGACCUGCUUUACUAGUUUCUCUUCUGGUUUAGAACAGGAACCCCAUUUCCCUUCCAAUUUAGAAUCUGAAUCAUCCAUUUGUGCUUCAGAAGACUUGACUAUUUUUGUGUACUUGUUGGACUGAUCUUUGGAGGCUGAUUGAGCCUCAAAAAUUUCAGUCAUCAUUGAGAUCACUAGCUCAUGCUUCCUAUUAAUUUCUUCCAUUAUACAAUCCAAUUGAGAGAUACCUAUGGGUUGAAGCUGCUCUGAUACCAUUUGUCACAGUUGAACCUUCAAUAAUGGCAGCUCCUCACCGUGACGUAGCUGCAGCUCAGAAAAUGAAGAUUUUCAACUGAAAUCAGCUGACUUAGUAACAAUAAAAGAUAAAAGGGAAUGGAGAAGGAUUAAAUGACGUAAAAUAAGAAGAAAUGGAAGAGAAAGCUGUUGAACGAUUUCACAAUUGCCCUGAAAAUAUCAAAUUACACAAAACUCAUCGUCCCCAUUCCCAAGCUUCAAGAUAACCCUAUAUACAAUAAAACAACAAUUGGGCUUGGGCUAGCCCACCACACAAGCCCAAAGAUAAAAUAAAACAAAAUUGGCAUAAUCCAUGACGGAUUCCGGUAUAUGCCGUUUUGGUUCCAAAUGCCAGGUCAAUUUUCUUCCCUCUCAUCAUGAAGUAUCAUCAUCAAAAGGUUUAUAUGUAUUUAGAAGAUCAAUGUACGGCACAGACUAAUGUCUUGUUUCUUCAUUGUUUUGUUGAGUAAUUAAACAUUAAUGUGCAUUAAUUGUAGUACCAUUUGGUUGAAUGAAGAAUAUACUAUUUUGAUCUGUGCUCACCAUAGUCUAAUUGUAAUGUAAUUCCACUUAUUUCAAGUUGAACAGUUUGCUCAUGAGAAAGAAGAGCUCCAUCCUGUUCAUUUCUCAGGCAAGAAUAAAUUUAAGGUAGUAAUGAAAUUGAGAAUCUUUUUCUUGAUCAAUCCUCUAACAUAAAUCAACUGAACUAAAAAUUGGUGACUUUAUAUAUGAUUUCUUGUAACAUGCUUUGUGGGUUCUGCAAUUUUGUAGGCACCAUGUAGCAAAUCAUCCAAUGGUUCAGGUGGAUCGGGAUCAUCAUCAUAUGGCUCAAAGUGCCACUUUGUUCAUCACCAAGUCAAAGCAGAAGCAAAAGCCCUCUCUCCACUACUGCCAUUACCGAUGGCCUUACCAACAUUACCCACCAAAGUAGAACAAACAUCUGGUGACGUUGGGAGAAUCAGAAACCCAAUUACUGCGUUCAUAAACUCAAAUUGGACUCCUCUUGAUGGUAUUGCCGUCUCUUUAUCUUCUGGUUCUUUUGAGGAAAAGAAUCCCCCAAAAGAAGACGUGGAUGCUUAUGUACAAAGGGGCCUCUAUGUUAUCCAUUCAAGGAAAAGAUUACAGGUGUUUCUGGUAUUCUGUCAGGAGUAGAUGCUUUUACUUAACAAUCUGCAAUAUAUAACUUGGCUUUGGUUGCAGAACUAAGGUAAUGUUAGAAGUGGAGACAAAUUUUAAUUUUUCUUCUUAGAGAUAAGGUUGAAAACGAUAGGGGUAGAAGCAAAGUUGAAUUUUACCUCUUUGAAGGAUAAGUUGUAGUUAUCAAAUCUUUGCCACCAAGAAGAAAAUUCAAGCAAGUAAAUCUACCAAGUCAAGCAAGGAAAGAAAGCCUAUUGGUUGAUCAAAUUCAUCUUUGAUUUUUCAACUUCUAGAGAAGGAAUUUAAGUUGUAUUUGUCAAAUGAUAAACUGCCUUAUAAAAUCUAUAAAUAGACCUUAGAAUGUGUUCAUUAUAUAUGUAUGUAUAUUCUAAUGAGUGUUUGCCAAAAAUAAUUUAGCACUAAGUGAGGUUUUAUGAUAGAUAGAGUUUGCUCUUUUGAGAGAGAUAGAGAGUUUGAAAAUUUUUGUAACUCCUAUUUAAAACUCAUCUUGUAAUCAUCUAUUCUUAUUUCUUAGUAGAGCCGCGUUAUCCCUUAGUGAAAUCUAUAUCCAAGUUUUUUUGCUAUUUUCAUUAUCCUGUGCAAAUUCUUACCUAACAAUUGGUAUCAGAGCCAGGUUAUAGCAAAAUUGGUGGAGCCUGUGAACCUAUAAACAAUAGUUGUGUUCAACAAUAACUGAGUUGCUACAAUAUUAAUGAUAGCAGAAGACAGAAAAGUUAAGAUCACACCUCAGGUUUUGUGAGUGGUGGAGGUAGUUUGUUCAGAUUUACUUCACUUGCCUUUUUCAUUUUGAUUUAUGGAUGCUGUUAGUUUCUCCUGCUACCUGGCCCAUCAUUCCUACAGAAUAAAAUUUACAUCAUGAUGAAUUUGAAUACGAAUAAAAAGUUUCCCUCUUGGAACGGUGAGCUGAGAAAGAAUGGCAAUAUUGGGGAUACCGCUUUACUCUUGGAUUGUUUUGGCUAUGGGGGACGUGAUACAGCUGCAUUAGGGAGCAGUCAAACGAAAGAUGGAGGACAGAGUAUCUGUACAAAUGCUUCUGAUGAUGGGUGCAAAUUAGUGCUUGGAUUGGGUCCAACACCUGGUACUUAUUCUGAUGAUUAUUGUGCUGUUCGGGGUAAUAAAAACAAAGGCUCGACAACCAUAUUUACUCAGAGGUUGGCAUCUGACUAUGAUUCGAUUCUGAAACUAGGACUGUCUGGAGACACAGAUGAUGAUUCGAAUAUACUCGAAUUUUCUGCUUCUACACAGAAUGCUUCUGAUGCACUUCACCAGCCGGAUCGAAUGUUUUCAGAUUGUCAUAGGCUUGCAACCCCUGUUGUUGAUGAGGGUUCUACGUCUGCCAAGAAAUCCGGUGGCUAUAUGCCGACGCUACUUUUGGCGCCUAGAAUGGAAAGUAACAAAAUUUCGUUGAGGACUGAUGAGGUUUCAAAUUUUGGUGCAAAAUCCCAUUGCUAUGUUUCCGAGCUCAAUGCUGAACCUUCUAGCGUCUCUAAUUAUUCAACGAGCACCACAUCUGAACCAACGCUACCCGGGGCAUCUUCAGACCUCAGAACUAUCAACCUGAAAAGAUGCAAGUUUGCUGGAUGUACAAAAGGAGCGCGAGGGGGAACGGGUCUUUGUAUUGGCCAUGGGGGCGGACACAGAUGCCAGAAACCUGGAUGCAAUAGAGGUGCUGAGAGCCGAACUGCCUAUUGUAAAGCCCAUGGAGGAGGCAGGAGGUGUGAGCAUCUUGGAUGCACGAAAAGUGCUGAAGGGAAGACGGACCACUGUAUAGCACAUGGUGGUGGAAGAAGAUGUGGGUAUCCAGGAGGGUGCACUAGAGCUGCCCGUGGAAAGUCGGGUCUUUGCAUCAGGCAUGGUGGGGGUAAGAGGUGUAAGGUGGAAGGUUGCAGUCGAAGUGCUGAGGGACAGAUUGGCUUAUGCAUCUCCCAUGGUGGUGGACGACGAUGCCAAUUCCUGGGUUGUACCAAGGGCGCGCAAGGUAGCACCAUGUUCUGCAAAGCACACGGUGGUGGAAAACGGUGCAUAUUUGCAGGGUGCACCAAAGGUGCCGAGGGGAGUACGCCUCUCUGCAAAGGGCAUGGUGGUGGAAAACGCUGCCUCUUUGAUGGUGGUGGGAUAUGCCCAAAAAGUGUGCACGGAGGUACCGAUUUCUGUGUUGCUCAUGGCGGUGGAAAAAGGUGUGUUGUUCCAGGCUGUAGCAAGAGUGCUCGCGGCCGAACUGAUUCCUGUGUCAGGCACGGAGGAGGAAAGCGCUGCAAAUUUGAAAGCUGUGGAAAGAGCGCUCAAGGUAGCACCGACUUCUGCAAGGCACAUGGUGGUGGAAAGAGGUGCAACUGGGGCGGUGGAAAAUGUGAAAAGUUUGCAAGAGGAAAGAGUGGGCUAUGUGCUGCACAUAGCAGCCUGGUUCGAGGACGUGCGAUGAACGAAGGAGGAAUGCUUGGGCCUCGACUCUUCCACGGAUUGGUGCCAGCUGCUUCUACUGCUAGGAGCAGCUUCGACAACACUUGUUCUUCAUCCGGAGUUAGUGUGAUCUCGGAUUCUCCCGAUUCACUUGAACAACCAGCA
rnacentral:lncRNA from 1 species